rnacentral:misc_RNA from 1 species
UACGGAGGGUGCAAGCGUUGUUCGGAAUUAUUGGGCGUAAAGAGCGUGUAGGCGGCUUGGUAAGUCAGAUGUGAAAGCCCUGGGCUCAACCCAGGAAGUGCAUUUGAAACUACCAGACUUGAGUACGGGAGAGGAGGGGGGAAUUCCCGGUGUAGAGGUGAAAUUCGUAGAUAUCGGGAGGAAUACCGGUGGCGAAGGCGCCCCUCUGGACCGAUACUGACGCUGAGACGCGAAAGCGUGGGGAGCAAACAGG